rnacentral:tRNA from 1 species
GGAUUGUGGCUCAGUGGCAGAGCGCUUGCCUCACACAUGUGAGGCAUUGGGUUCAAUCCUCAGCACCA